rnacentral:rRNA from 1 species
UACGUAGGGGGCUAGCGUUAUCCGGAAUUACUGGGCGUAAAGGGUGCGUAGGUGGUUUCUUAAGUCAGAGGUGAAAGGCUACGGCUCGACCGUAGUAAGCCUUUGAAACUGGGGAACUUGAGUGCAGGAGAGGAGAGUGGAAUUCCUAGUGUAGCGGUGAAAUGCGUAGAUAUUAGGAGGAACACCAGUUGCGAAGGCGGCUCUCUGGACUGUAACUGACACUGAGGCACGAAAGCGUGGGGAGCAAACAGG